rnacentral:rRNA from 1 species
AUUGAACGCUGGCGGCAGGCCUAACACAUGCAGGUCGAACGGUAACAGUAAGAAGCUUGCUUCUUUGCUGACGAGUGGCGGACGGGUGAGUAAUGUCUGGGAAACUGCCUGAUGGAGGGGGAUAACUACUGGAAACGGUAGCUAAUACCGCAUAACGUCGCAAGACCAAAAAGGGGGACCUUCGGGCCUCUUGCCAUCGGAUGUGCCCAGAUGGGAUUAGCUAGUAGGUGGGGUAACGGCUCACCUAGGCGACGAUCCCUAGCUGGUCUGAGAGGAUGACCAGCCACACUGGAACUGAGACACGGUCCAGACUCCUACGGGAGGCAGCAGUGGGGAAUAUUGCACAAUGGGCGCAAGCCUGAUGCAGCCAUGCCGCGUGUAUGAAGAAGGCCUUCGGGUUGUAAAGUACUUUCAGCGGGGAGGAAGGGAGUAAAGUUAAUACCUUUGCUCAUUGACGUUACCCGCAGAAGAAGCACCGGCUAACUCCGUG